rnacentral:rRNA from 1 species
GACGAACGCUGGCGGCGUGCUUAACACAUGCAAGUCGAACGGAAAGGCCCUGCUUUUGUGGUUUGUUCGAGUGGCGAACGGGUGAGUAACACGUGAGUAACCUGCCCUUGUCUUUGGGAUAACUUCUGGAAACUGCGGCUAAUACCGGAUAGGAGCUCCUGCUGCAUGGUGUGGGUUGGAAAGUUUCGGCGGUUGGGGAUGGUCUCGCUGCUUAUCGGCUUGUUUGUGGGGUAGGUGCUUACCAAGGCUUUGACGGGUAGCCGGCCUGAGAGGGGGGCCGGCCACAAUAGGACUGAGAUACGGAGCAGAAGGCUACGGGAGGCAGUAGGGGGGAAUAUGGCAGAAUGGGGGGGAGCCUGAUGCAGCAACGCCGGGUGCGGGAAGACGGCCUUCGGGGUGUAAACCGCUUUCGAAGGUAACGAAGCGAGAGUGACGGUAAUGGGUAAAGAAGCACCGGCUAACUACGUG